GAUGAAUGCUAGCGGCAGGCUUAAUACAUGCAAGUCGAGGGACAGCACAGGUAGCAAUACUGGGUGGUAACCGGCAAACGGGUGCGGAACACGUACACAACCUUCCUUUAAGUGGGGGAUAGCCCAGAGAAAUUUGGAUUAAUACCCCGUAAUAUAGUUUGAUGGCAUCAUCGGACUAUUAUAGCUACGGCGCUUAAUGAUGGGUGUGCGGCUGAUUAGAUAGUUGGCGGGGUAACGGCCCACCAAGUCUACGAUCAGUAGCUGAUGUGAGAGCAUGAUCAGCCACACGGGCACUGAGACACGGGCCCGACUCCUACGGGAGGCAGCAGUAAGGAAUAUUGGUAAAUGGACGCAAGUCUGAACCAGCCAUGCCGCAUGAAGGAUUAAGGCCCUCUGGAUUGUAAACUUCUUUUAUUUGGGACGAAAAAGGGUCUUUCUAGACCAACUGACGGUACCAGAUGAAUAGGCACCGGCUAACUCCGUGCCAGCCGCCGCCGUAACAC
rnacentral:rRNA from 1 species